AUAUUCUUAACUUAUGAAAAUAACCAUGAAAAAAUUUUAGCAUAAUUUUUUUAACAUAAGGCAUCAUGUUUUAUGUCUACUCACAAAAUUUGAACUCAAAAUUCAACUUAUACAUGAAGAAAUAAAAAAGAGAAAUCGAAUUAGAGGGUAGAUUGGACCAAGUGAAAUAGUCCAAGGGAGUAAAGUGCGCCAAAAUUUUGUUCAGGGGUUAAGCGGACAAUAGGAUAGGUAAGGGGGGUAAAAUGGACUUUUUCCUUAUUAAUAUUGUGGGAAUGUCAGUAUGGAUCAUAGCUAAUAAUUAGUGCGAUUUGACCGAGAACCAUACAUUUGGAUGCAAGUUCUAGUGAAAUUCAUUUUCUUUCUGACUUAACAUAACAUUAUUGAUGCGUGGAAGCAAGUUGUUCCAUGCCAUUAACUUCUUUCCAAUCAGGUCUCUUCAGCAUGUGAGGUUUGGUGGUCAGGUUCCUAGGACAUCUCCGACAAUAUCCUACUUACAGCGGGCCAUAUAGGUUUACAGACAAGGGUACUGUUCCCGUAAUGUGCUAAUCCCCAACCACUUGUCGUCCCAGAUCCUAACUUGAGGUCCAUCUUUAAU
rnacentral:lncRNA from 1 species